rnacentral:rRNA from 1 species
GACGAACGCUGGCGGCGUGCUUAACACAUGCAAGUCGAACGGAAAGGCCCUGCUUUUGUGGGGUGCUCGAGUGGCGAACGGGUGAGUAACACGUGAGUAACCUGCCCUUGACUUUGGGAUAACUUCAGGAAACUGGUGCUAAUACCGGAUAGGAGCUCCUGCUGCAUGGUGGGGGUUGGAAAGUUUCGGCGGGUGGGGAUGGACUCGCGGCUUAUCAGCUUGUUGGUGGGGUAGUGGAUUACCAAGGCUUUGACGGGUAGCCGGCCUGCGAGGGGGACCGGAAACAUUGGGACUGAGAUACGGCCCAGACUCCGACGGGAGGCAGCAGUGGGGAAGAUUGCACAAUGGGCGGAAGCCUGAUGCAGCAACGCCGCGUGCGGGAUGACGGGCUUCGGGUUGUAAACCGCUUUCGCCUGUGACGAAGCGUGAGUGACGGUAAUGGGUAAAGAAGCACCGGCUAACUACGUG